rnacentral:rRNA from 1 species
ACUCAAUAGAUACCCUGGUAGUCCUGGCCGUAAACGAUGACCACUCACUAUGGGAGGGAUCGACCCCUUCCGUAGUGGAGCUAAACGCAGUAAGUGGUCCGCCUGAGGAGUACGGUCGCAAGACUAAAACUCAAAGGAAUUGACGGGGACCCGCACAAGCAGCGGAGCGUGUGGUUUAAUUCGAAGCAACGCGAAGCACCUUACCAGGGCUUGACAUGCCGUCGCACCGCCCAGAGAUGGGCGUGCCCGCAAAGGACGGCGGCACAGGUGCUGCAUGGCUGUCGUCAGCUCGUGUCGUGAGAUGUUGGGUUAAGUCCCGU